GUAGGUGGCAAGCGUUGUCCGGAAUUAUUGGGCGUAAAGCGCGCGCAGGCGGUUCUUUGAGUCUGAUGUGAAAGCCCACGGCUCAACCGUGGAGGGUCAUUGGAAACUGGAGAACUUGAGUACAGAAGAGGAAAGCGGAAUUCCACGUGUAGCGGUGAAAUGCGUAGAGAUGUGGAGGAACACCAGUGGCGAAGGCGGCUUUCUGGUCUGUAACUGACGCUGAGGCGCGAAAGCGUGGGGGAGCAAACAGGAUUAGAUACCCUGGUAGUCCACGCCGUAAACGAUGAGUGCUAAGUGUUAGGGGGUUUCCGCCCCUUAGUGCCUGCAGCUAACGCAUUAAGCACUCCGCCUGGGAGUACGGCCGCAAGGCUG
rnacentral:rRNA from 1 species